UACGGAGGGUGCAAGCGUUAUCCGGAUUCACUGGGUUUAAAGGGUGCGUAGGUGGCUUUGUAAGUCAGUGGUGAAAUCUCAGAGCUUAACUCUAAAACUGCCAUUGAUACUGCUUAGCUUGAAUCAAGUAGAGGUGGAUGGAAUAUUACAUGUAGCGGUGAAAUGCUUAGAUAUGUAAUAGAACACCGAUUGCGAAGGCAGUUCACUAUGCUUGUAUUGACACUGAGGCACGAAAGCGUGGGGAUCAAACAGG
rnacentral:rRNA from 1 species